rnacentral:rRNA from 1 species
GNUCNGAGUNAACGCGGGCGGCNGGCNUAUCACACNCAAAUNGAACGGCAGCACAGAAGAGCNUGGUUUUUGGGUGGCGAGUGGCGGACGGGUGAGUAAUGUCUGGGGAUCUGCCCGGUAGAGGGGGAUAACCACUGGAAACGGUGGCUAAUACCGCAUAACGUCGCAAGACCAAAGAGGGGGACCUUCGGGCCUCUCACUAUCGGAUGAACCCAGAUGGGAUUAGCUAGUAGGUGGGGUAACGGCUCACCUAGGCGACGAUCCCUAGCUGGUCUGAGAGGAUGACCAGCCACACUGGAACUGAGACACGGUCCAGACUCCUACGGGAGGCAGCAGUGGGGAAUAUUGCACAAUGGGCGCAAGCCUGAUGCAGCCAUGCCGCGUGUAUGAAGAAGGCCUUCGGGUUGUAAAGUACUUUCAGCGGGGAGGAAGGGAUGAAGCUUAAUACGCUUCGUCAUUGACGUUACCCGCAGAAGAAGCACCGGCUAACUCCGUGCCAGCAGCCGCGGUAAUACGGAGGGUGCAAGCGUUAAUCGGAAUUACUGGGCGUAAAGCGCACGCAGGCGGUCUGUCAAGUCGGAUGUGAAAUCCCCGGGCUUAACCUGGGAACUGCAUUCGAAACUGGCAGGCUAGAGUCUUGUAGAGGGGGGUAGAAUUCCAGGUGUAGCGGUGAAAUGCGUAGAGAUCUGGAGGAAUACCGGUGGCGAAGGCGGCCCCCGGAC